rnacentral:rRNA from 1 species
ACACUCCUACGGGAGGCAGCAGUGGGGAAUUUUGGACAAUGGGCGAAAGCCUGAUCCAGCAAUGCCGCGUGAGUGAAGAAGGCCUUCGGGUUGUAAAGCUCUUUUGUCAGGGAAGAAACGGUGAGAGCUAAUAUCUCUUGCUAAUGACGGUACCUGAAGAAUAAGCACCGGCUAACUACGUGCCAGCAGCCGCGGUAAUACGUAGGGUGCAAGCGUUAAUCGGAAUUACUGGGCGUAAAGCGUGCGCAGGCGGUUUUGUAAGUCUGAUGUGAAAGCCCCGGGCUCAACCUGGGAAUUGAAUUGGAUACUGCAAGGCUAGAAUCUGGCAGAGGGGGGUAGAAUUCCACGUGUAGCAGUGAAAUGCGUAGAUAUGUGGAGGAACACCGAUGGCGAAGGCAGCCCCCUGGGUCAAGAUUGACGCUCAUGCACGAAAGCGUGGGGAGCAAACAGGAUUAGAAACCCCGGUAGUCCC